rnacentral:rRNA from 1 species
AACGGCCGUACCAUGCUGAAUAUACCGGUUCUCGUUAGAUCACCGAAGUCAAGCAUCAUUGGGCGCGGUCAGUACUUGGGUGGGGGACCACCUGCGU